GGGCCCGUAGCUCAGCCCGGUAAGAGCGCCCGGCUCAUAACCGGGUGGUCGAGGGUUCAAAUCCCUCCGGGCCCA
rnacentral:tRNA from 1 species